UUGGAGGGCAAGUCUGGUGCCAGCAGCCGCGGUAAUUCCAGCUCCAAUAGCGUAUAUUAAAGUUGUUGCAGUUAAAAAGCUCGUAGUUGAACUUCGGGAUCAAUGAGUUGGUCGUGCCCUUGGUAUGAACUGGCUUUAUUGGUUCUCACCUUCUAAUGAACCAUAAUGUCAUUCAUUUGAUGUUUUGGGGAAUUAGGACUGUUACCUUGAAAAAAUUAGAGUGUUUAAAGCAGGCUCACGCUUGAAUACAUUAGCAUGGAAUAAUGAAAUAGGACAUCGCAUUCUAUUUUGUUGGUUUCUAGGAUCGAUGUAAUGAUUAAUAGGGGAUAGUUGGGGGCAUUAGUAUUCAAUUGUCAGAGGUGAAAUUCUUGGAUUUAUUGAAGACUAACUACUGCGAAAGCAUUUGCCAAGGAUGUUUUCAUUA
rnacentral:rRNA from 2 species